AAAAUUAAUUUUAUAUAUAAUAUUGGCACCUUCAAGAAAAAUUUUAUGGUUCCAACCCUGUCUUCCAGGGAUAGUUGAUAUUAUGGUUUUGUGCAACAAUUAUCCUUUGGUUUUGUAUGGAUGAUUUUAUGUUGCUUAUGAAUUUAUGAAUUGUGAUAUUACAUUUCAAUGGUGAUUCUGAAAUAUAUUUUAUUUUUUCUCUGUUGUUACUUGACAGG
rnacentral:misc_RNA from 1 species